GAUUUGGGGAAAUGGAUAUGUUUGGUAGUGCUUAGAGGAUGCAGCCUGCCACAGGAGAAGCUCACGCGGAGGUGGAGGCCAAGGUGUGUGCGGCAGCCGUCUGGACAUCUGUGCGAUCGACGCCGACGUUGGAAGAGUCAUAGAGCGUGUUCUUCUUCGGAUGAGCCACUUCCAGAGAGUCAUCCUAAGAGACCAUCACACCACACACAUAUCUCACCUAUGAACGCAGUCGGAGCCCCCGAAGCGCUAUGGGGCCGUCCUGUCCUUGACCUAUGGGUGCUGGGGUUGUGUGCCGCGUGCCCUCCGUCGCUGGCCCACGUGGAGGAGGUGGGCGGAGGCAGUUUCAAUUGUGAGUUUAUUUACACGUGGGGCUCACCUGUGUUUCUGUGUUUUCAAAGCUUUUGCUUAAAACUCUUUUUUUUUUUUUAACUUUUAGAAGGGAAAAUUGAAAACCUUCCAAAAUUAAAAUGAAGAAAUAGAAUGUGCCGGGUGGAUAUCUCUCCAGUUUGAAGGCUAAUUGCAAAAUAGACGUUUGGACUUUGAGCUCCUAGUUAUCUGCUCGCAUCCCAUCUUAUAAAGAUAAAAACCGGUCUGUGAAAUCUUUGUAAAAAUAUAUGAAACAAAUGGUGGAACAUGUGGAGGAAAUAAUUUAAAAAAUGAAAAUUUCCCUGCAAUCCAACGAAUCAGCUAUUUUUAGAAACGCCUAAUGCUCCGUGUCACUACGGAGCCAAUCAAAAUCAGGUUUUUAGUUUUCGAAACAAUAAAACGUUGCACGCUGUUUACAAGAAAGGAAUGUGAAGUUGAUAAAUCUGACUUCGGUUCUGUGACUGACUCACUAUGAAAUAAGGAAGUGCGCGUAAAUUAUUAUUUUUUUUUCGAAUUAUCUUUAGGAGAGACACUUACCCUGUGAACAACCUACUGAAGACCUUUAUGAGCGUGAAAACGUAGGGAGGGACCGGCCUGUUAGCCUUUUCAACUUUAUUCUAAUUCCUUCAUCAAUUCUUGUUUUUGCUUAUCUUGAUCCAGAAAAGAAGUGACUGGGCUCUGAUUUCCAGAGACGAUUCACCGGUGGACAGCUCAGCACCAUCCCCUGCCAGUGGGCUGGGUGUCCACCCUGCAGGGAGGGAGGGGGCCCUGGCCGAGCUCCUUGAACGGCACGGGGCGGUGGGGGGGUGGCACAGCGGGACGGGGCCAAGGUCUCUCCCUCCAGGGAUAGGAAGGAGGCUGACACUUUUGUAUUUAGCAGAAGAUAACUUCUGCUAUGUUUUAAAUCUCAUAUGUUAGUGUUUUUGAUUUUCUUUUAAUCUGCAUGUCUUAUAACUUCCCAAGGCAUUUUAAGGAGCCAACACUAAGAGUUAUUUUUGGGGAAAAAAAAAAAAUCCAAUAUUUUACAUUUUCUCGCCAUGACAUCAGAUUAGGGCUUUGUCAUGACAACGCAAAUUCCAGAGUUUGAGAUUCCUUCCUCUCCUGGAGGUGAGAGAGUGGCAACAGAUGUGGAGUCUACGUGGAGUCUAGUCUAGAGUCUCCUUCCCUCUCCCUAAAGCCUUCUUGAUGAAGCCCAAACGAGAUCCACACAUACUCUUCCGUUUACAAACAUCUGCUUAUAAAUACUUAACUCCUAUAGAUGUUCAUAAAUCCAUAAUUUAGGAAAAAUAUAGGAAAGAGAAACAUUUCUGAAAAAGAUAGUGAACUCUCUUCUACCGUCUGGAUUCUCUAAGAUAUAUAAUGUAUAAUUUCAUCAAUAUGAUACAAAUUAUAUGUGACAUACUA
rnacentral:lncRNA from 1 species